rnacentral:misc_RNA from 1 species
GUGAGAAUGAAAUGGGUUAGAUUUUUCGUUCUGGCUAGAGGAUAUUUUUCUGCACUUAUUUUCAUGUGUUUAGUGUUGUAGUUGGAUCAUUUAUUCAAGAAAUCUGCAUAAAAAUUCAUGAUUUAUCUCUGCUUCUAAUUAUAUAGCACUGAUAGCAGCAAGAUCAACCCCUCUAUGGUAGAGCUUAGCGGAACAUGCAAUUACAUGGACUUUUUGCUUGCAAUGGAUGACAAAUAAAAAAGAACAGAGAAAUUUGCAAUAGAGAGAAGAUAGAGAAAGUCCCUCACUUUAGCUUCUACAAGAGCAUGGAGAAGAUUCACGAAGACGGAGGGAUUGGCCUAGAUCAACUCAUGGGAGAAGUGCUAUACUAUGGAGACAACCAUUCCGCCGUGGUGCAGCUACAUUGCAGAGAAGAUGUGGAUAAGUUGAUUGAUUAUCGUAAUGCUGAUCACUAGCUGCUUGUAAUUGAUGUGGGGUUGAAGCACUAUGGACCAUGCAUGAAAGUCUAUCCAACAGUGAUAAAAUUGUCAAGGAAGAUAGUUGAUACUGUGGUGUUUUGCUAGGAUGAACGGUGCAGAUGGAAUUCUCCUGUUGAGAAUUGUAUUUUCUUAGAUAAAAUGUAAAUUUUAACGGAGAUUUAACGGUAUUAA